CUCUUAUCAAGAGCAGGUGGAGGGACUGGCCCGAUGAAACCCGGCAACCGGCAGCCUAAUUUUUCCGGCUGCAGCGGUGCUAAUUCCAGCAGAACGUUAAGUUCUGGCAGAUAAGAG
rnacentral:ncRNA from 2 species